CACAAGACAUGAAAUAUUCUUUUGAGUUUCUCCAGAGACUGUUGAUGAAGUUCCAGCCAGACCAAGCCUCUGUUCGAGUACACGGGCUAAGCAACACACUCUUGAGUUUCCUUUGAUGGAUGGACUGUUUGGACCGAAAAGGAUUGCACUGAGAACAUGUCUUCACAAUGGGCCUGGGUCUUCAGAGGAUCCCUGUGCUGUGGAGGACGUCCCUGCCUCGUUCCUGUGCCUGAGACCCUGUGUCCCUAAAGGACUUUAAUUACACAUGUUACUAUAACUUGGGGGCGGCAGUAGCUCAGUCUGUACACACUUGGCUUGGAAACCGAAGGGUCAUCGGUUCAAGUCCCGAUCGGAGCCUUGUCCUUGAGCAAGGCACCAAACGUACUACUACUAACUACUGCUCCCCGGCGCCAGAACACGUGCAGCCUUUACAUAGUUUGUACAUACAUAUUUGUGUAUACAGUGCAGGACUUUGACUUGCUACGGAGUAUUUUCACAGUGUGAUAUUAGUUAAUGCUCUGAACCCUUCCUCUUCCACUGCUGUCCACAGCUGAGGGACAGGUCCCCCUGUUUGUUGCACAUUACCCAGGGGAGGUCGAGGUGUCAGACAGAGACAAAUGUGGUCCCGCCUGGUUUUGUAUUCAGCAGCAUGUGUUGUCGGUUCUUCAGAGGCUAAUUAACAUAACAGGAUCCCCAGUGAUCCCACUCUGCUCUUCUGUCUAUACACAGCUCCUGUUUCGCUUUACAGCCUGCACAGUGGGGCGCUUCCAACAAGAUGCUGUUGUUUCACUCAACCCCAAAAGUAAACUGGACAGCGUGUGAGAAAGUGUCAUUACGAGUGUGUGUCUUUCUCCAGGUCGAAACCAUUAAAAAGGUCAGUUAAAGCAUGUGUACUGAGUAAUGUCCGGAAACCACACCCAAAAUAAACGCUAAGAUAUCUACAUCUUAGGAUAGAUAUGCCCUUGUUCUAGAAAUACAAAGGCCUACUGAACAAACAACUCAAGUUUAUUUAAAGUAUCAUAACAAGAAAAUUAUAGUGGCUAAUAUGGUGGAUAUAAAAAACCAACAACAUCACUAGAUAUUCUUGAAAUGUUAAAACUUGUAUUGAAUGAUUAAAAUAAGCAGAUUUGAGAUGGUGUUUCCAAAGAUCCGCGCUGCAAAGGUCUGGAGGUCCUUGAAGGAUCCCUGGAGAAUAACCCCGGACACUUGUGUAAACAACAACAACAACCUGACAUUUCUUCUGUAGCAGCUGGAAUCCUUGAAAAGUAUUCAAGGAUUAAUAAAACACUUCCAUGAUUCACAAACCUAUACUGGAAGUUCCCUUAGACUCUGGUUGAAACCUGGAAGCCCUUAAAGAUUCCCUGCAACUCCUCAAGGAUCCCCGGAGAGCAUCAAAGCCCCCUGGAACUCUUUAAAAAUGUCUGGAAUCCCUUUAAGGAUCCAUAGACUUUCCAAGCGAACUGGAAGUCCCUCACAGACAACAGAAACCUUCUCAACCAUACUUAAGCUCCCAGGAUUCCAUAAGGUCUCAGUGGAGCUUGUUUAAAAUUAUUUUGUACAUCAAUAAAAGUAAUGAUCCAUUUUUC